rnacentral:rRNA from 1 species
AGAGUUUGAUCCUGGCUCAGGAUGAACGCUGACAGAAUGCUUAACACAUGCAAGUCUACUUGAUCCUUCGGGUGAUGGUGGCGGACGGGUGAGUAACGCGUAAAGAACUUGCCCUGCAGUCUGGGACAACAUUUGGAAACGAAUGCUAAUACCGGAUAUUAUGUGAGUUUCGCAUGAAAUUCAUAUGAAAGCUAUAUGCGCUGCAGGAGAGCUUUGCGUCCUAUUAGCUAGUUGGUGAGGUAACGGCUCACCAAGGCGAUGAUAGGUAGCCGGCCUGAGAGGGUGAACGGCCACAAGGGGACUGAGACACGGCCCUUACUCCUACGGGAGGCAGCAGUGGGGAAUAUUGGACAAUGGACCAAAAGUCUGAUCCAGCAAUUCUGUGUGCACGAUGAAGUUUUUCGGAAUGUAAAGUGCUUUCAGUUGGGACGAAGUAAGUGACGGUACCAACAGAAGAAGCGACGGCUAAAUACGUGCCAGCAGCCGCGGUAAUACGUAUGUCGCAAGCGUUAUCCGGAUUUAUUGGGCGUAAAGCGCGUCUAGGCGGUUUGGUAAGUCUGAUGUGAAAAUGCGGGGCUCAACUCCGUAUUGCGUUGGAAACUGCCAAACUAGAGUACUGGAGAGGUGGGCGGAACUACAAGUGUAGAGGUGAAAUUCGUAGAUAUUUGUAGGAAUGCCGAUGGGGAAGCCAGCCCACUGGACAGAUACUGACGCUAAAGCGCGAAAGCGUGGGUAGCAAACAGGAUUAGAUACCCUGGUAGUCCACGCCGUAAACGAUGAUUACUAGGUGUUGGGGGUCGAACCUCAGCGCCCAAGCUAACGCGAUAAGUAAUCCGCCUGGGGAGUACGUACGCAAGUAUGAAACUCAAAGGAAUUGACGGGGACCCGCACAAGCGGUGGAGCAUGUGGUUUAAUUCGAAGCAACGCGAAGAACCUUA